rnacentral:lncRNA from 1 species
AAUACCAGCACUUUGGAAGGAAGAGGCCGGCAGAUCGCUUGAGCUCAGGAGUUCAAGACCAGCCUGACCAACAUGGCGAAACCCCACCUCUACUAAAAAUACAAAAAUUAGCCAGGUGUGGUGGUGUGUGCCUAUAAUCCCAGCUACUCGGGAGGCUGAGGAAGGAGAAUCGCUUGAACCCAGGAGGCAGAGGUUGCAGUGAGCCGAGAUGGUGCCACUGCACUCCAGCUUGGGUGACAGAGCGAGACUCUGUCUCAAAAAAUAAAAAAUAAGCUAGUGGACUUUGAGCAAAGCAGACUGUUCGCCACAAUGUGGGUGGGCCUCACCUGAUCAGUUGAAGUACUGAAUAGAACAAACCUCGCUCUACCCUGAGCAAGAAGAAAUUCUGCCAGCAGACCACUUUUGGACUCAAACUGCAAAUCCUGAAUCUCCAGCUUGCCAGCCUACUCCACCUGAUUUAGCAGAUUUUGGACCCACCAAGCCUCCAUAAUUCUAAGACAAGGCACAGACACAGAGGAGAAGCCGUAUGAAGAUGAAGGAAAUGACUGGAGUUAUGAGCCAAGGAACGCCUGGAACCACCAGAAAUUGGAAGAGGGAAGAAAAAAAUCUCCCCUAGAGAAUCUUGUUCAGAGGGAGCGUAGCCCUGCCAUCACCUUGAUUCCAGACUCUUGUCGUACAGAACUGUUAGAGAAUAAAUUUCUGUUGUUUUAAACCACCAAAUUUGUGGGAAUUUUUACAGGAGCCCCAAAAAAC